UAAAGAACUUUGAAGAUUUUAGUCAGUGAAGAUCUUCCAGCUCAAUCAGGUUUGAAAUCCAAUUCUGUAGUAUUUCAAUGUCCAGCACACCAAUGAAGAAAUAUCCAUCCAGGCUGCUAGUGGCAGGAAGGAGUGAAAUGAAAGUAAAACCCUUUGGUCCUCACAGAGAAAACACCAUCCCCAUUAAAUUCAGUGCUAAAACCUUCACAGAUCUCAUUAUAGCCAGAUUUUCACCAGGCUCCAAUUUUAGUGGAGCUGCUCACAUGCUUACAGCAAGCGUCUUAAUAAGCUUUUGUAAACUUGGAGCCUUAACUUGUGGUCCCAGCUGCUGGAGGUGGGAAGGAUAUAUUAGUCCAGAUUUUUGCCAAGUGGAAGACUGCUCUCUACACAACAUUAAUUGCUCUCUGCCUAGCUUAAUAAGAGUCUGCUUUCAGCAGCCAAAUAUAACCAUGUAAUAGGAAGAAUUUCUGUUUAUUGUUAAAAUGCUUUCAUGCCUAGAAAAUGAGGACUUCUGGAAUGUGUCUGAUGGCAAUACGACAUGGGUGUUAGGGGCGAGUGCAAACAUCUGGAGUGCUGAGCUGUGAUUUGCUCUGCAGCCACCCCACGCCCUGCUCUGCGAUCAGCUGUGGCCAAUGUAGAAUUUCAGAUUAGGGAGCCUAAGGCAGCAAGGAAUUUUCAUUGUAAGUGAGGAGAUAGUGUGCCAGUCGUGCUGCCUGCUUGCGUGUGCUUUGUGUGUGUGAGCAUAACCGGUGAUCCACCGUGAUCAGAAAUGAUGAGCUGCUGGGGUGUGUCCUGAGCACACGCAUGACUCCUGGAGGGAGGGUGAGCUGUCAGACAUGUUACUGCUUUGCCACAGCUGGGAUGGCAUGGAAAUGGCAUCGGUAACACCCUUCCUCCCAGGAUAAUGCCACGCCAGCUGUACACACCAGGCCCUGCAGCUAUUGCCACAGCAUGCUCUGCAAGGAAGGAGAAGACAGUCCAGCCUUUGCACUUUAGGAUUCUGUCACCUUUCGCCAAGUCUCUGGCAAUCAGCAUCCUCUCCAGUCCUCUCCACCCCAGGAGGUUGUUGCAUGUGUUUUUCAUGGGGAGAGGGCUUCGGGGCAGGGCAAUAUUGAUUUGGGAGGGACUUCUUCCCAUUGGAGAAAGCUGGGCUGAACAGCAGACACCUUCCAUCCAAAAAAAAAAAUCUAUCUCAAACUGCUACUAUUAAUUUUUAAUUAGGCAGCACUUCCUCAGCUAAAUUAACUGGUGCUCAAGUGGUUCAUCCUGCCUUAACAGUCCCCCGCUCCAAACCCCAGAGUAGGGUCCACCAGGUCUCACAUGGAUCUAAUGAGCACGGGAAGAAAUGAAGAAAAUAAUUUGAGAAGCUGUGUCUUCCCACAGGCAUUUUUCGAAGGCUCUUUUGCCUGUGGGUGUUCAGUGAAGAAAGCCGCCAUGCUGGAAGAGCAGGCUGUGGUGUCAGGGGACACAUCUGCAGCGUGUCCCUGCUCUCAGCGUCACAGCGAGUGGUUCCUGUAGCACUCAGCGGUUGAGCUGUGGUGGUGGCAGGGGCACGCGUACCGCAGGCGUCCUGUGCACCAACUGGCCUUGGAUCUAUUUAUUUAUUUAUUUUUAGUACCUGCAUCUGAGCCAGGAAAGUUACUGUUUUGCUUGCUUUGCCCUUCACCCGUGAGUGUUUUCUUCAUCUUCAGGCAGCCACCUGCAUGCAGGGCACAAGGGACUCAGUAAGGAGUGGAAAACACGGAAUUUUAUUUUAUUUUUUUUUUCCAUUGCAUCCUGCACAUUUCCAAGGGGAGACCUCUCCCCUCUGCAAAGGUUCAAUGCAGCUCUUAUGGACUGGAUCCACAAAACCCCAGUAAAUACGGCACAGAAGCAUGCUUUGUAUACUCUCCUGCCCAAGAGAAGUAGUGUGAAGCAACUAGAGUUUCAAAGCUUCCCCCAACAGGACAUUUCAUUCCCUGUGGGAUUUUGGGCACCAUGAAGCCUAGCUAACUCAGCAAAUGUAUUUACUUUUUGAACUGGAGAGCCACAAGUCAGGAAUUCAGAGCAACCCCAACUUCUUAGCACAUAACCAAUAACAUUAUGAGCACCUCAGGGAAACUGUGAACAAGGGCUUCUUUUAUAGGUGGGAAAGUGUAAUACAAAGUGAUUCUCUGCCACAGGAAAAGGGAAAAUUGCCCAGGUAAACAUGCAGUGGGAACUGCAAACUGGAUUCUUUCUGAAAAGUUUAAUAAUUCUGUGUUAUUCCAUGAAAGCUUUCUGGUAUUGUGAGUAAUAACCACCUCCCCCAUCCCUACAUGUUAAAGUAAUUAGAUUGCAAAAUGCAAUGGCUGUAGAAUGUAUUUAUGGAUUUUGCUAUUUAGUGGGGUUUUUUUGGUUUGUUUCUCUGCUCCCAUGAUGACUCUAAUUGAAAUCCAAAUGAAAUCAGAGGAUAAAAUAAAUGGUGACAAGCUGGGUGCUCCCUCUGGGUCUGUGGCCCCACUGACUCCCACAUUUUGUUCAAAGGCUUCUAGGAAAUGUAAAGCCAAAUUAGAAAAGUCUUAAUAUGGCAAGAUGCUGCAGUAUAUGUUCAGCUAUUCAUAAGGAACUGGCUCUCUGUAUCAGUUCUUUAAGUGUGAAGAUUUUCCCUUCCAGCCAGCCUAGCACAAUGGCAUUUCUGAAUUAAAUUACACAGGGAUCACCAGUGUGAGGGAAAGAAAAAGAAAAUCUACCAUUCCCCAAUUAAAAGGCUGUAACAUAUUGCCUUGUCAGACUGGAAGGAAAUUCCAGCUUAUCAGGUAGAUAGCAAUGUUAGGCUAUUUUCUGAAGAUUGAACAACACCAGUGCUACCUUGAACUUAAUUACAGCUACAUGUAAUUGCUUUAUAUUUUUUUCUAGCUAUUUGACCAGAAAAGGAGUUUGAAUAUAAAGUCAGGUGAUUCCUAGAGAGCUGAGAGACACUGGCAAAAGUCCUGGCACUGCUCCCAUCCCCGCAGAGAGGGUAACAGCCCAGGUCAUGUCCCUGAAGGGCCAGAGCUGAGCUAUCAGGAGGGGGAGCUCUGACCACGCCACCCAGCUGCAAGCAUCCUCUGCUUGCUCCAGGAUUCCUGCCCACACCUUCCUUCCGUUCCCCCCGGUUUGUGUUGGCCUGUGCAUUAGCGUCCGUCCCCAUCUCAUUCAGCUCUGUAAACCUGCAGCAAAGAUCUCUGCAUCACUACCAUCUGCUCAGGGAAAAGAGAUCGCCCCUACGGCACUUCUGGAGUUCGCUCGGCGAAGCGGCGGCAGCGGCAAGAACCGAGGUGAGCCCGGGGAGAGGGUUGGAUCCCGCUGUACAGAGGGGUUUCCGAGCUCAGGGACCCCCAGCUCACAGCCCCAGCCCCAGCGGGAACCCGGAAGCCCGCAACAACCAAUCAGGAGCGGAGGGGGCGUGGCCAGGACUCGCGGAGAUUUAAACGCGGCCGGAGCAGGCCCUCAGGCGCGCGGCGGAGCGGCGGUAGCGGCCUCACAGGAGUGCGGCGCGUGACAGGUUAUCCAAGGUUACGAAGCAGGAGGACUUAUCCGAAGUACUGGUAGCAUCAAAGACACACGCGUUAUCUGAGGUGCUACGCAAUGCCUCAGAAAAGCUCGUGCAUAUCAGUUCCUGGAAGAAACAUGAUUUCUUGCAAGCAACAAAAUCCAAAGAGAACCAGGAAGCCCUACCAUAACCCUCCUCUGCAUUUUUGUGGAAGCACC